UACGUAGGGUGCAAGCGUUGUCCGGAAUUAUUGGGCGUAAAGAGCUCGUAGGCGGUCUGUCGCGUCUGCUGUGAAAACCUGGGGCUUAACCCCGGGCCUGCAGUGGGUACGGGCAGACUAGAGUGUGGUAGGGGAGACUGGAAUUCCUGGUGUAGCGGUGAAAUGCGCAGAUAUCAGGAGGAACACCGGUGGCGAAGGCGGGUCUCUGGGCAACAACUGACGCUGAGGAGCGAAAGCGUGGGGAGCGAACAGG
rnacentral:rRNA from 1 species